rnacentral:rRNA from 1 species
AUACGGAGGGUGCAAGCGUUGUUCGGAAUUAUUGGGCGUAAAGAGCAUGUAGGCGGACUGUUAAGUCUGGUGUGAAAGCCCGGGGCUCAACCCCGGAAGUGCAUUGGAUACUGGCGAACUUGAGUACGGGAGAGGAAAGUGGAAUUUCGAGUGUAGGGGUGAAAUCCGUAGAUAUUCGAAGGAACACCAGUGGCGAAGGCGGCUUUCUGGACCGAUACUGACGCUGAGAUGCGAAAGCGUGGGGAGCAAACAGGAUUAGAAACCCUAGUAGUCC